rnacentral:tRNA from 1 species
GCCGAGGUGGCGGAAUUGGUAGACGCGCUAGAUUCAGGUUCUAGUGGGGCGACCCGUGGAGGUUCAAGUCCUCUCCUCGGUA